AUUGAACGCUGGCGGCAGGCCUAACACAUGCAAGUCGAGCGGAUGAAGGGAGCUUGCUCCUGGAUUCAGCGGCGGACGGGUGAGUAAUGCCUAGGAAUCUGCCUGGUAGUGGGGGAUAACGUCCGGAAACGGGCGCUAAUACCGCAUACGUCCUGAGGGUGAAAGUGGGGGAUCUUCGGACCUCACGCUAUCAGAUGACCCUAGGUCGGAUUAGCUAGUUGGUGGGGUAAAGGCCUACCAAGGCGACGAUCCGUAACUGGUCUGAGAGGAUGAUCAGUCACACUGGAACUGAGACACGGUCCAGACUCCUACGGGAGGCAGCAGUGGGGAAUAUUGGACAAUGGGCGAAAGCCUGAUCCAGCCAUGCCGCGUGUGUGAAGAAGGUCUUCGGAUUGUAAAGCACUUUAAGUUGGGAGGAAGGGCAGUAAGUUAAUACCUUGCUGUUUUGACGUUACCAACAGAAUAAGCACCGGCUAACUUCGUG
rnacentral:rRNA from 1 species